CAGAGUCCACAGCCAGUAAAUGGAUGAUCCAGGACUGGAACUUAUCUCGCUGACUAUAAACCAGUGUUCCACUUGGAAGCUGUAAUCCCAGCUACUCGGGAGGCUGAGGCAGGAGAAUGGC